UAGUAGUGUAUAUUAAAGUUGUUGCAGUUAAAAAGCUCGUAGUUGAAUGUUGGUGUCGAACGAGCGGUCAGCUUCGGCUGUACUGCUCUCUCGACUCCUUCCUUCUGUGGACUACGUCGCACUUUACUGUGUGGCGCUAGGACGCAGAUCGUUUACUGUGAAAAAAUUAGAGUGUUCAAAGCAGGCCGUACGCUUGAAUACAUUAGCAUGGAAUAAUGGAAUAGGACGUCGGGCCUAUUUUGUUGGUUCUAGGACCGUCGUAAUGAUUAAUAGGGACAGUUGGGGCCGUUUAUAUUCCGUAGUCAGAGGUGAAAUUCUUGGAUUUACGGAAGAUAAACUACUGCGAAAGCAUUCGGCAAGGAUGUUUUCGUUAA
rnacentral:rRNA from 1 species